AUACUGUUUGAGUACUAGUUAUAGCAUUAAAUCUCAAUGUACAGCAUACUAAGGACAGAGAUCCUACAUGAGGAGUAAGUGCACAGUGACUCCUGUUGUUGACUUAACAAAUUGACACUCUUGUUUAUGGCAUCAGGAAUCACCCUAGGCUCUUGUCAUGAGCUGCCAAGGCUAUGGAAGCCCCCUGAGUUCACUGACUCUGAUUAUAUUUAGACAAGGCCAUGGUCAAAGUGGAAGUUCUCUCCUCCCUUCAGAGAAAGGUACCUCCUUCUUUGAUGACCCGUUCUUUCCACUGGGAUCUCAUUCG